rnacentral:lncRNA from 1 species
UACAAGCAGCAAGAAUCAAUCCGGACCACACUGAGGUCAGAGGUGCAGGGCACACGUAUAAAACAAUAGCAGUGUGAGACGGUGCUCAGAGCUCUGAAAACGAGGCUAAAUGAUGAGCAUGUUUAUUACAGACCGUGUGAUCACAUUAGGGUUAUACUCAGAGACAAAAAAAUACCGUAUAGGUUUAAAGUGACUCUCUUUUUUCCAGGGGGGGGGGGCUCUGCCACUUUAACCUCUAUCAGUCUGCACAAUCUCAGUUAAGAUGACAAUAAUAAGUGGAACAAAACAAUGCAGAUUCAUGCACAUCUUCUUAUUGGGACCUGCUAGUUUGAAUAACACACACUGUGACUGUGGAGUGUGUGUUUCAACGAGAUGCAGCUGCAAACCUUCAAACUAUUUUCACACUUGUUGGACUGUGACUCUGCGCUGCCUGCAGCAGCCUGACACCAACGUCAUUUCUUAUUAAUAAUAAAUUAAUUCGAGAUUAAGCCAUGCUCUGCAAUCACCGAGAUUACACCGUUUAAUUUGUUUAAAGAUGUCAGUUUGAAGCUUAUUUUAAAUAAUUUCACAGCCUAUAGCAGAAAAUCUUGCAAACAUGAGGGCAGAGUGCAUCUUUGAGGAUAGAUGGCACAUGAAGACAAUGUUAGACACUGAACAUCUUAUAAGGAUUUGUUUCAGUCAGAUUUUUAAAUUGUUUGCAAGAUAAUUCUCAACAUAAAAGCAAUCAAUAAUCAUAAAUAUGGGAACUUUUUUUCCCUAAAUAAAGCUCAACUCUUAGAAUUAAAAUAAUGACAUUAAGGCCCACUUCCUUUUGUGACUUUGACACAGAUUAGAAACUGUAAAUUUCACUGACUAUCGUGUAGAGAUGCAACUUUUUCUGCACCACCACUAUAAAAAAUUGCACGUGGAAAAAAGCAGGCAAUCGUCGUGCGCAUGAGUGAGCUUCUAACAAACACAAACACUGUCAUAUAUUUAUGAGUACUAAUUGAAAAAAAAUCCAAGUCUAAUGUUUGAACUGCUUUGAGAGGUUGUGUGUUGAAAGAGAGGAGGGGUGAGAGCUCUGUGUGUGUGUGUGUGUGUGUGUGUGUGUGUGUGUGUGUUGGGGUGGGGGGUUAGUAAAGGGUGCUCUUUUUUUUUUGUCCAAAUCUGAUCCCCAAAUUAUUCUGGGGGGCUCAGAUUGGUGUGAAAGGGACGAGAAGGUCACUUGAAAUCGCCUUUUAUCCGCUGGCUUUUUUUCUAUGGAUCAGCAACUUUCAAUAGACAUAAUCUAAUCGCUCUUAAUGGAAAGGCCAUUCGUGAGAAAUAGUGGAAAUAUCGUUGAGCCUAUGGGCUACAAGGCAUUUAAGACCGAGGCAUUUAACAGGCAACAAGAGAGAGAGCUGCACUAAAUAACAUGGCUCUUAAUUAGACGUGGAAAAGUGAAAAGUUUGUAUUUAGAGCAAAGGAGUCAACAUCAGUACUCACACAUUAGCCAAGUGCAUUUAUAACUUUCUAAUUAGCAUGAAAUUAUGAUUAUGAAAACAUGUAUAUGUGAAUAAAUAGAAGUUGAUUGAUUUAUUGUAAAAUAACACCACCCUGCAGUGUGAGUCCUCCUUGUUUGUGUGCAGAUUUGCUCUCUAUUUCCAGUUUGGCCUCUCGUCUCUAGAGAUUCCAGAUCCUUAAAUGUCUUUCCAGGUUUUUUUCUUCUUUUUUUACCCGGAAUCUCAGACUAUAAUUGACGACAAUAUCUGCAGUGACUUUCCCAAUUAGUCUUGAGGUCGGAGUUAAGUUGGAGGGACUGUCACUUUAAGCUAUGGGCAAUGGCUUUAUUGCUCACUAACCAUCAUUUCUUCAGAGCCUAUGUGCUAAUUACUUUAGAUGGUCCCAGAGACGGAGAUUAUAAAUCCAUUAGCACCCAAACCCUCGUGGUUGCACAGUGCAAACACUGUAAUUUUGUACUACACCGAAAAAAAAAACCAAAGUUAAAGGAGCAGAAGCUACAUGAAGGGAGACAGACUUCAGAGAGAGGAAACCCGGAGUUUAUCAAUCAGCAGCUGAGCCCAAACACACACACACACACAUACACAGAGCAUCACACAGAAAUAACUGACAGCAAAAAUAUCUGAUAAAUAGCCCGUGUUUGGGUUUAUAAUCGACUUGUUUAUAUUACUUUGUGCGCAUAAUGCAGCAUUGUGAGGAUCAGCUCUACACUUUUAAUGUUUUGGCUUCUAUUUCCACGCAAGUUUGGAAAAUCGUUUAUUCCCAAAGUGCCCGUGAAGUAUCCAGGGAGAGACGCAGCCCAGAGGAAAAGGGUGGAUUGGAAUAAGACUUAAUACCUGUUUGACUGCGUUUAAAGAGGGGGGAAAAACGAGGGGGUACACGAAGGCAUCCCACCCUUUAAGUAAUUUAUUUCAGGAAAACCGGAGGGCAAAGGUGGAAUUCUUGAGAAAUUCAACAAGGAUAAGGGAGCUUUAGGAAUUCUGCACGCAGAUUACCUUUCAUCCCAUCCUCACAUUAUCCGACAACACACAGUAGAAAUAUAACCGAGCGACAAAAGAGGCAGAUUACCCUCCGACACAGAGGAGAGCUAAACAAUUUUUAAGAAGUGUUGCGAUUAUUACAGAAGAGAGAGAGAUGGGGGAGGAGGAGGGAGGAGAGAGGAAGGGAGGGAUGAGGGGUCAAACAGCAAAGGUUGAUUCCCUGAAUGUGUUCAAAAAAACGACCUAAAUGAGCGUUCAUCCUGUCACUGUCACACUGAGGAGUGUGUGGUCGAUUUUACCCUCCGUUUUCCACACACAUGAAUAUUUAUAGUGUGUAAAUACACAUCAAAUACAUCAUGAAAGUGAGCUGAGCUGAGUGAGGAAAGGAUCAUCUACAGAGAUCUUUACAUCAACAUUUCUCUUCUGCUAACUUACAGUGAGUGUUGUCUCUGCUGUCACUGUCAGUCAUGAUGCGUCCCACACUUCCUGCUGACUCUGGGUUUGACUCUCUCGUCUCGCUCAGGUUGAACUCUUUUGGUUGUCCAUCUUUCUCUUUCUAACUACAUGAGUGGCAUCAUGUCAGGAAAUGCAUUAUUUCCCCUCCUUCAACCCCCCAAAACUAACAAACAGCAGGAGCUUAAUUGGAAAUGUAGAGUAGCUGAACCAUCAGCAAGCUGGAGCAGAAACACAGAGGAGGAAAGAGUUGAUAUGAUAAUUUUAUGUAUGUUAAAAAAUUCCAGAGAUUUUUUUGGAUGUAAAAAAAGUUCAACCUUUGACAUGUUAGUGCCACAUUUUAUCCUAUAAAUCUAUAUUUGUAUAUCCUAAAUGUAGCUUUAAAGUCAUGAUAAAGUAAAAAUACGUCAGAGAUUGGUCAGCCUAUCUCACUGUAAAUUAUAUAAUUGAACUUAAAAACAACAAAUAAUAAUCAAUAGAAAAAAAAUACCAAUAUCUCUCUCACACACCCACACGGACACGGACAAAACCCUCCUGUGCUUAAGUGUAGUUUUGUCUAAAAGGUGUGUGUCUGGUGUUUGCAUGUGUGGGCACAUGUGUGUGAGAAGACAGUGACGUGAAGGUGGCCUGUGUUUAGAGUCCAGACCUGGCAGAUUGUGACCUUAUCAAUGUGAAACUCUUAAGAUAAAUUAUUCAUAGCACCUGUUUGAUGUCUCCGGCCAAAGAAUGACAAAGGUGUAAGAUUUGAGAUGCAUCUCAAAAAGGCAUGAAUACCAGCCCCGGUGCCUGCUGUUGGUUUUUUAGGAGCGGGGAGAAAGAAUGAUAAGGGUUCUUUUUAAAUAAGAAAAAAGAGCGAUUUUGUGCAUAAGACAGCGAGCGUGUGCGUAGGUGCAUCAUCGAGACUUAGCAGUAACUCAGUCUACAAAUUUCAGUGUACAAGGUGUGACCCCAUGUGACUCACAGGUAUCUAGUGAUUAAGCGGGCCACCUGCAUCGCCACCGCCUGCUUUAAUUUGAAAUUUGAAGCUCGGAGAGAGUUGAUGUGGUUGAUUCGGCGGAGCUAAUCGUGACUGAGUUUGUGUUGUGUGUCUCUCCUCGCAGGAAAAGGAAUGACAUGGCCGUGAAGCAUUCGGGACGCACAGCAGGACGUGUCGGUGUGAUGCAAGGACUGACACCGGAAUGAGAUGUAAUUUAUGGCGAGGGUGUUUGAUUAAAGGACAGUGAUGGGGGAAAGAAAUGCUGAGUACACAGUUGAAUGUGUGUUAAAUCAAAUACCAUUUGUACAUUAAUAGCCAGGCUAAGAAUAGAUUUUAAAAGUCUCUCCCCUCUGAUUUUUAUUGGUUAGUUCAGAUUUUGUUUUUUCAAAGAGUGAAUAAUACUGCAGUGUGUAUUUAUGGAGUACUAUUCUGAGCUUUUCCUCUCAGAGAGGAAUCUAAGCAUCCAAAUUCCUCCUCAAUUAUUUGUUUUGGAAACGAACCAUCGGUCUGCUUUUUGGGAAACUAGCAGCUCAUCUCUUCAUAGCUAGAGGUCAACAUAACACUCAGUAUUAAUAAAACAAAUAAGAGCAGGAUGGAUAUUAAUGAUGGUAUAAACACACGUAGUGCAGAUGAGAGAGAGAGAGAGAGAGCUGAUAGGCAGCAAAGAAGAGACCCACUCAGGCCCUCUCACACAUAUUUGUGUGUUUACUUGUCGGUGUAUGUGUGUAUGAGAGAUAGCCGAGUCCGUAUCCUUCAGAUGUUCCCUCUGACCUUUGACCCUGCAACCGGGGUCAAGGCCUGACAAAUGAGAUGGUUGAGUUUUGGCCAGAACUGCAAACAUUCCACAACAAUCUUCUGUCCUCCUCCUCUUCCUCCCCUCAUAUCCGUCAUUCCUCACCCCUUCACUCCUCUCUGUUUGUCUCUUCCUGCACUUAGAGAGAGAGAGAGUCAGAGAAAGUUCUCAUUACAAACAAGCAUGUUUUAUUGGAUUCGCUGUGGGAAUCUUUUUUGGAGCACACACCCUUCAAAUUAUGAAUUACAGCACUGCUUAAAUUUAAGAUCCUGGACAUCGGCCUGGUUCGCAGAAGAAAAGAAAACAAAACAUUUAUGAUCUUAAGGAAAAAGCUGCGCUAAAAGAUUUGGAUAUUACAAGCGUGCACUUUGAAAGAACAUAGCGUGUGCUUGGAAAGCUUGUCAGUGAUGUCAAGGAUGAGAAAUGUUGCAGUGUGGUUUUUUACACACGCUGCUGGCUCUAGCAUUUCCGGCAACAUUUCUCACUCUGCCUCCCUCACACCAUCCGCUGUGCUGCAAUAUCCCCACAUUUUUCCAUCCUUUCACUUCAUCCCCUCCCCUCCCUUCCCUCUGUUCUCUGACCACUCUUUGCUCCCAUUACCCUUCCUCUCUGCUGCCCAAUCUCAGCCUCUCCCUCCCUUCUCACAUCCACUCACCCCCCCUUUCCUUUCCCUUCUCUCUCUCUCUCUCUCUCUUUUUUUUCUCCACCCACUAUUUUCUCAGAUUUUCUAACAUGCCGCUCCACAGAAUGCUACCACCUGUGUCUUUAGGGAGGAAAGCGGAGCUGUUGGUAUUCCUCCUCAGGAAGCUGGUUAAGGUAAGUGGCACCCUCUAUUACAAUGACAAGGCAAAUAACAGUUUCAGCUCGUUGUGUUUCUGCAUUACGGGGUGUUUUUUUUUUUUAAUGUUCACUGAAUGACCCCGGCUUCCUAAGCAUUACCGCCCUCCAUCAGAGCUCUGGCUACAAGUCACUGCUGUAAAAACACACGCAGUCGCCAUCGAUGAGCAUCAUCAGAGCCACAAAAGGAGCCUGGAGACCAACAAAGCCGUAACACUGAGUGGCUCUUGCUCUUGAACUGGCUCUCAUAAUGAUGUAAUAUUACUAAAAGGCAAUGCAACACAGCUAAGAUCUUAAUAAAAACACAUCAAUCCCGA